rnacentral:rRNA from 1 species
GAUGAACGCUGGCGGCGUGCCUAAUACAUGCAAGUCGAGCGAACAGACCAGGAGCUUGCUCCUCGGAUGUUAGCGGCGGACGGGUGAGUAACAUGUGGAUAACCCACCUAUAAGACUGGGAUAACUUCGGGAAACCGGAGCUAAUACCGGAUAAUAUAUUGAACCGCAUGGUUGAAUAGUGAAAGACGGUUUUGCUGUCACCUAUAGAUGGAUCCGCGCCGCAUUAGCAAGUUGGUAAGGUAACGGCUUACCAAGGCAACGAUGCGUAGCCGACCUGGGAGGGUGUACGGCCCCUGUGGAGCUGACCCGCGGUCCAGACACCUAGGGGCGGCCCCGGUAGGGAAUCUUCGGCGAUGGGCGGAAGCCUGACGGAUCGGCGCCGCGCUGGUGCUGAAGGUCUGCGGGCCGUAUGACGCUGUUCUUGUUGAAAACCGAAUUUGGAAGUGACUAUGCACUUCGUGACGGUACCUGCACAAGAAGCACCGGCUAACUACGUG